rnacentral:rRNA from 1 species
UACGUAGGGGGCAAGCGUUGUCCGGAUUUACUGGGCGUAAAGAGCGUGUAGGCGGCCACGCAGGUCCGUUGUGAAAACUGGAGGCUCAACCUCCAGCUGUCGACGGAAACCGUAUGGCUAGAGUCCGGAAGAGGAGAGUGGAAUUCCUGGUGUAGCGGUGAAAUGCGCAGAUAUCAGGAAGAACACCAAUGGCGAAGGCAGCUCUCUGGGACGGUACUGACGCUGAGGUGCGAAAGCGUGGGGAGCAAACAGG